ACCUGGGCUACACACGUGCUACAAUGGUUGGUACAACGAGUUGCGAGUCGGUGACGGGCGAGCUAAUACUCUUAAGGCCAAUCUCAGUUCGGAUUGUAGGCUGCAACUCGCCUACAUGAAGUCGGAAUCGCUAGUAAUCGCGGAUCAGCACGCCGCGGUGAAUACGUUCCCGGGCCUU
rnacentral:rRNA from 1 species